rnacentral:rRNA from 1 species
UACGGAGGGUGCAAGCGUUAUCCGGAUUCACUGGGUUUAAAGGGUGCGUAGGCGGGCAGGUAAGUCAGUGGUGAAAUCUUCGAGCUUAACUCGGAAACUGCCUUUGAUACUAUCUGUCUUGAAUAUUGUGGAGGUAAGCGGAAUAUGUCAUGUAGCGGUGAAAUGCUUAGAUAUGACAUAGAACACCUAUUGCGAAGGCAGCUUACUACGCAUAUAUUGACGCUGAGGCACGAAAGCGUGGGGAUCAAACAGG